rnacentral:rRNA from 1 species
CCCAUUGGUAGAAAAAAACCCACAACCCCUUGGGGUUAUCCUGCGCUUGGAAGAAGAACUAGGAAAAGGAAAAAAUAUAGCGAUAGUUUUAUUCUUCGUCGCCGGAUCCCCCUGAAAACCGUAUGUGCGGGUCUCCCCGCAUGCGGCUCACGCCAUUUGAGGUGGCCCAGCCCAGCAUUCAUUCGCUUUAUUGCGAGGGGCUUUGAAAAGCGAAAGGAUGAAGACUGA